UACAGAGGUGGCAAGCGUUGUUCGGAAUUACUGGGCGUAAAGGGCGCGUAGGCGGCCUUCUAAGUCAGACGUGAAAUCCCCCGGCUUAACCUGGGACUGCGUCUGAUACUGGGAGGCUUGAGUAUGGGAGAGGGAUGUAGAAUUCCAGGUGUAGCGGUGAAAUGCGUAGAUAUCUGGAGGAAUACCGGUGGCGAAGGCGGCAUCCUGGACCAUAACUGACGCUGAGGCGCGAAAGCUAGGGGAGCAAACGGGG
rnacentral:rRNA from 1 species